rnacentral:rRNA from 1 species
AUUGAACGCUGGCGGCAGGCCUAACACAUGCAAGUCGAACGGUAACAGGAAACAGCUUGCUGUUUCGCUGACGAGUGGCAGACGGGUGAGUAAUGUCUGGGAAACUGCCUGAUGGAGGGGGAUAACUACUGGAAACGGUAGCUAAUACCGCAUAACGUCGCAAGACCAAAGAGGUGGACCUUCGGGCCUCUUGCCAUCGGAUGUGCCCAGAUGGGAUUAGCUAGUAGGUGGGGUAACGGCUCACCUAGGCGACGAUCCCUAGCUGGUCUGAGAGGAUGACCAGCCACACUGGAACUGAGACACGGUCCAGACUCCUACGGGAGGCAGCAGUGGGGAAUAUUGCACAAUGGGCGCAAGCCUGAUGCAGCCAUGCCGCGUGUAUGAAGAAGGCCUUCGGGUUGUAAAGUACUUUCAGCGGGGAGGAAGGGAGUAAAGUUAAUACCUUUGCUCAUUGACGUUACCCGCAGAAGAAGCACCGGCUAACUCCGUGCCAGCCGCCGCAGUAA